CAUAGAGAGCCACUUUGCAUCAGCAGCACCAUGCUCCAGUGCUCUGGGAGAGUUUAUAGUCCUGAGAGUUGAACACUGGAUGACUGACAGCUGUCCUUCAUGACAACAGAAGCCCCAGAAAUCCUCCUCAUCAAAAACAUGACUCUGAUCUCCGUCCUCAUCUGGACUCUCCUCUGCUUCACUCAGGGGUCUGUUGGACAAAAUGUUGUCUUGACUCAGCCAGCAGCCAAAUCAGUGCAGCUGGGUCAAACUGUUUCUGUUGACUGUAAGGCCAAUCCAACAGUUACUAACUUCUCUGGUUCACGAUACUACCUGGCCUGGUACCAUCAGAAAACUGGAGAAGCUCCUAAACUUCUGAUCAGACUAACAUCAGAAAGAGUUUCUACAAUCACCAGAUACAGUGGAAGUGGAGCAGGGAACGGAGUUGACUUCACUCUGACCAUCAGUGGAGUUGAUGCUGCAGAUGAAGGAGUUUAUUACUGUCAGAGUUAUCAUUACAUCAACAGUCAGGGUGUGUUCACACAGUGAAAAAGCGUCGUACAAAAACCUCCCUCAG